GUGUCAGCAGCCGCGGUAAAACGUAGGAGGCGAGCGUUAUCCGGAUUUACUGGGUGUAAAGCGCGUGCAGGCGGUGGUGAAAGUCGGACGUGAAAGCUCCCGGCUCAACCGGGAAAGGACGUACGAGACUGCGCUGCUAGAGGCAGGUAGAGGUGUGUGGAAUUCCGGGUGUAGUGGGGAAAUGCGUAGAGAUCCGGAGGAACACCAGUGGCGAAGGCGACACACUGGGCCUGACCUGACGCUCAGACGCGAAAGCAUGGGGAGCGAACGGGAUUAGAAACCCCGGUAGUCCAUGCUGUAAACGAUGCGGACUAGGUGUUGCGGGUUAAAUCCCCUGCAGUGCCGCAGCCAACGUGAUAAGUCCGCCGCCUGGGGACUACGGCCGCAAGGCUAAAACUUAAAGGAAUUGGCGGGG
rnacentral:rRNA from 1 species